rnacentral:rRNA from 1 species
GGAUUAGAUACCCUGGUAGUCCACGCCGUAAACGAUGGUCACUAGCUGUUCGGCAUUUAUGUUGAGUGGCUAAGCGAAAGUGAUAAGUGACCCACCUGGGGAGUACGUUCGCAAGAAUGAAACUCAAAGGAAUUGACGGGGGCCCGCACAAGCGGUGGAGCAUGUGGUUUAAUUCGAUGAUACGCGAGGAACCUUACCAGGGCUUAAAUGUAGUCUGACAGCUGUAGAGAUACGGUUUUCUUCGGACAGAUUACAAGGUGCUGCAUGGUUGUCGUCAGCUCGUGCCG